ACGAGGUUUGUAGUCCUCGGCGUCAGAGUUUGAACGCUCGGCGGCGAUGCUUUACUACAUGCAAGUCGAACGGCAGCGCGGGCGAACCUGGCGGCGACGUGGCGAACGGGUGAGGUAAUACAGUACGGAACGUACCCAGAAGUAGGGGAGUAACGUAGCGAAGUUAACGCUAAUACCGCAUACGUUCUACGGAAGAAAUCGGGGGAUCGCAAGACCUCAUGCUUUUGGAGCGGCCGAUGUCUGAUUAGCUAGUUGGUGAGGUUAAAGGCUCACCAAGGCGACGAUCAGUAGCUGGUCUGAGAGGACGACCAGCCACACUGGGACUGAGACACGGCCCAGACUCCUACGGGAGGCAGCAGUGGGGAAUUUUGGACAAUGGGCGCAAGCCUGAUCCAGCAAUGCCGCGUGAGUGAAGAAGGCCUUCGGGUUGUAAAACUCUUUUGUCAGGGAAGAAACGGCUGGGGCUAAUAUCUCCGGCUAAUGACGGUACCUGAAGAAUAAGCACCGGCUAACUACGUG
rnacentral:rRNA from 1 species